rnacentral:sRNA from 1 species
CUUAGGGCCUUAUUAUUCACCGAUAACCUGUUUCCUUGCUACUUUGCUUUGGUGUAAGCAGAGUUCUUUCUGUAGGUUUUUUCAAAUGAAAACAUUGCAAGAAUAUCAAAGAGAGCAGUGUUUGCGUUAGUGAUUAUAAACUGCAGCAUGGUGCUGACAUUGAUAACUGAAAGUCAACUAAUGAGAAUUUGAGACUUCUGAAGUACACUUAGUUGCUAGUGUCUCCCUUUUGGUGUCACUGGAAAGUUUAGAAAGCAUGGUUUUGUUUUUGCUCAGGUUUCUCUUUCUGUGAUGCAGAGACUCUCAGCUGUUCCUCCUCUAUGUCUACAUUAUGUCUGAAGGAAAGAAUUUAACAAAACUUGAAAUACUGCUGUUUUUCUACAAUGUUUGUAAAUAUUUAUCUUGCUGCUUUUCUAGGUUUGUCUUCUGGAUUUAAAAUUUGGGGCGGCUGGGGUGGAAUUGCAUGGUUUGGGAAUGGGUAAUUGAGCUGCUGCUCAUUAUGGUAUGUAACAGUGAUUUGUCUGUUUAAUAUGUACAAGAACUGGAAGGUCAAUAAAAUGAAAGUGGUUGUCUUGACUGGGUAAUAGUGUUACAUAUUUUGUUAAAAGUUAUACAUCUUUUCAAUAAAAACACUGCAUACUUCAAAACUA